ensembl:snRNA U1 U1 spliceosomal RNA
AUACUUAUCUGGCAGGGGAGAUACCAUGAUCACGAAAGUGGUUUUCCCGGGGUGAGGCUUAUCCAUUGCACUCCAGAUAUUUUGACCCCUGUGAUUUCCCUAAAUGUGGGAAACUCGACUGCAUAAUUUAUGGUAGUGGGGGACUGUGUUUGCACUCUCCCCUG